UACGUAGGGGGCAAGCGUUGUCCGGAAUCAUUGGGCGUAAAGCGCGUGUAGGCGGCUCGAUAAGUCUGCUGUGAAAGUCCAGGGCUCAACCCUGGGAUGCCGGUGGAUACUGUCGAGCUCGAGUCCGGAAGGCGGCGAGUGGAAUUCCUGGUGUAGCGGUGAAAUGCGCAGAUAUCAGGAGGAACACCAAUGGCGAAGGCAGCUCGCUGGGACGUGACUGACGCUGAGACGCGAAAGCGUGGGGAGCAAACAGG
rnacentral:rRNA from 1 species